GGCAACUGUCAUGGUGAUAAUGGCCAUACUCACAUCAUAUCACCCAUGGGUGUGGCUACCUCUGGUCACCCAGUGCCACACCACAGUCAUCCCAGAGUCCCUGUCCUGUCCCCAUCCCCACGUCCCUGUCUCUUGUGUCCCUCUCCCUAUGUCGUGUCCCCCAUGUUCCCCAGUCCCCGUUAAAGUGUCCCUGUCAACUUGUGCCCGCCCUUGUGGUCCCUGUGGCCCCUGUGGUCCUUGUGGCCCCUGUGGUCCUUGUGGUCCCUGUGUCCCUGUGACUUCAUCUGUAUAUCCCUGUGUGUCCAUUCCUGUGUUUCCCUCUGUCCCUGUCCCUGUGUGUCCACCCCUCUGUCCUCGUCCCUGUCUUCCUGUAUCCCCCUGUGCCUCUGUUCCUGUCCCUGUGUGUCCACCCCUGUGCCCUCGUCCUUGUCUCCCUGUGUCCCCUUGUGCCUCAGUCCCUGUCCCAGUGUGUCCACCCCUAUGUGCCCGCCCCUGUCUCCCUGUGUCCCCAUGUACCUCUGUCCCUGUUCCUGUGUGUCCACCUGUAUGUCCACCUGUGUGUCCACCUGUAUGUCCACCUCUGUGUCCGCCUCUGUGUCCCCGUCCCUGUCUCCCCGUGUCCCCAUGUACUACUGUCCCUGUAUGCCCACCCCUGUGUCCUCGCCCCUGUCUCCCCGUGUCCCCAUGUUCUAAUCCCUGUGUGCCUAUGUACCCAUCCUCAUAUUACUAUGUUCCCAAGUUCCCCUGUCCCCGUGUCCCCGUGUCUCUGUUCCUGUGUCCCCGAGCCCGUGUCCAAGGCUGCCUGUCUCGUGUUGAAUAGUGCUGCCCUUGUAGGGUGGGACCAGGAAAGGGCACAAGGACUUGCAGUGCCCCUUCCCUAAGCUGUCCUUCCAUCCUGUCCCCUAUCCUGUCUGUCAGCUUUGGCGCCUGAUCCCAAGCCUGCCACCAUAGACCUGCCACAUCCCUUCCAAGGCCCCCAGGCAGCACUUCCAUGCCUGGGGGGUGGACUCCAGGAAGGCCCAGGAGGUGCAUUCUGUGGCCCUCUGCCACUGUCCUGCUGUACUGGAUGGCCUUGAACAUCUGGAGGAGCGGGGCUCUAAUCGAACAGGCCGAAUCCCAUGUUGUUGUCCAACUCUUCAGACUCGUCCUUCUUCUCGUCCUUCUCCUCGGCUGCAGCACGAGCUUUGGAUCCCUAGGCGGCAGAAAUGGCCACAGCCCCACUGGUGGGGACACUGGCCAGCUUGCCAAUACCCAUAGCAUCAGAGGACAGUGAUCAGGAGCAGGUGGCCAGCCACAGGUCGGGCUCAGAGGAAUGGAAGGAGGGAGCAGGCCAUGAAGACAAAAUGCAGGUCAGGGAUACACAGCCCUAAAGCCGAAGACUGAGUGAUGCAUCCGGGGCAUUGGCCCAGACCCAGGGAGGAUGGACAAUUGUAAGAUGAGGACAAAAAGCCAUUGGAUGCUCCAAGCAGUUCACAGCCACCAAGGCAUGUAGUCUUGGGGACUCCACAUAGUGGGGCUCUCCAUUUCCUGGUGUGGGGCUGUCCCCCUGCACCAGGCCCAGCAGGUGACAAGUCUCAGGUUACAGGGGCCAGUGGCAAAGGUUGCAGAGGGUCCUCCAGGCCCAGGAGACACAAGCUCAGCAGAGACCUUUUAGGGCUGUAGAUCUGAGCCUGAAUGAAGAUGGCUGUAUAGCACAGGCAACUAUUGGGCCAAUCUGUCUGGGCAACGAAGGUCAUACGGACAAGGAGGAGACCUCCAUGACACCAUCAACCAUGUCAGCUCCAGAAAGGUCCCAGAAGACCAUGGGAGCUGUCACACCCAACCCAUGGGCUUCCAAGGUCCAGGACACACCUGCAGGUCUCUCUGCACAUGGGGACCACACACAGCACUCAGGGUGAUAGGAUGACCCUGAAGGUCACACUGCCACCACAUCUUCUCCUGUAUUUUGACUGUGGUCCUCCAGCUCUGCCAUCCAGUCCCCACAACCCAGAUGGUCCAGUGUCCUCCAGCACCAGCUCCAGGCUCCCUGGGGUCAUGUGCUAGGCUGGUCCAACACCCACCCUCCUACUCAAGGCACCAGCUAAGAGGUGCCUGAACUGCCCUUAAUCUUAUCUGUGCUGCAAAGACACAGCAGUUGGAUCAGCCCUCAGCCACAGCCUAGGACACAGGUUCCACCAGGCCAUCAACCUGAGCCUCAGGCCCAGCAGAGGCCCCAGGAAGCUGGGCCUCAGAGCCCCCAGCACUGAAGCCAGGUGCCAGGCCAUUCAGGGACUGCAUGCACAGAAGCUCCUGAGGAGGACGUGGCCCCUGGACCUGAACCACAUGGAGAGGAAGGGUGGCCACAGUCCCCAGGAGCAGAAGCACUGCCCCAGCCUGGAGACCAGAAAGGACAGGCCAAGUGGACCUUCCUCAGUGCUCCCACAAGCUCCCACCCCACCCGAUGCGAUGCCAGGCACCUGAUGGUUCCCUGCAAGGCCUCUUCCUGGCGGUGAGCAGUGUCUUCCUGCUGACUGGCGGCUUCCUUUCCAGUCUUGGCCCCGGCCUGCUCCUGGCUUUGCCUCCUGUUGGGCUCUUUAUCAGGUGCUCUCAUCUGCAGUUUGGGUGGUCCCCGUCGGAAAUGCCUCUGAGGUUUCUAGUCAAAACAAGAGUCACCCCUGAACAUUC